UUAGCGACAGAAGAAGCACCGGCUAACUCCGUGCCAGCAGCCGCGGUAAUACGGAGGGUGCGAGCGUAAUCGGAAUUACUGGGCGUAAAGCGCAUGCAGGUGGUUUGUUAAGUCAGAUGUGAAAGCCCGGGGCUCAACCUCGGAAUAGCAUUUGAAACUGGCAGACUAGAGUACUGUAGAGGGGGGUAGAAUUUCAGGUGUAGCGGUGAAAUGCGUAGAGAUCUGAAGGAAUACCGGUGGCGAAGGCGGCCCCCUGGACAGAUACUGACACUCAGAUGCGAAAGCGUGGGGAGCAAACAGGAUUAGAUACCCUGGUAGUCCACGCCGUAAACGAUGUCUACUUGGAGGUUGUGGCCUUGAGCCGUGGCUUUCGGAGCUAACGCGUUAAGUAGACCGCCUGGGGAGUACGGUCGCAAGAUUAAAACUCAAAUGAAUUGACGGGGGCCCGCACAAGCGGUGGAGCAUGUGGUUUAAUUCGAUGCAACGCGAAGAACCUUACCUACUCUUGACAUCCAGAGAACUUUCCAGAGAUGGAUUGGUGCCUUCGGGAACUCUGAGACAGGUGCUGCAUGGCUGUCGUCAGCUCGUGUUGUGAAAUGUUGGGUUAAGUCCCGCAACGAGCGCAACCCUUAUCCUUGUUUGCCAGCACUUCGGGUGGGAACUCCAGGGAGACUGCCGGUGAUAAACCGGAGGAAGGUGGGGACGACGUCAAGUCAUCAUGGCCCUUACGAGUAGGGCUACACACGUGCUACAAUGGCGCAUACAGAGGGCGGCCAACUUGCGAGAGUGAGCGAAUCCCAAAAAGUGCGUCGUAGUCCGGAUCGGAGUCUGCAACUCGACUCCGUGAAGUCGGAAUCGCUAGUAAUCGUGGAUCAGAAUGCCACGGUGAAUACGUUCCCGGGCCUUGUACACACCGCCCGUCACACCAUGGGAGUGGGCUGCAAAAGAAGUAGGUAGUUU
rnacentral:rRNA from 1 species